rnacentral:rRNA from 1 species
GAUGAACGCUAGCGGCAGGCCUAAUACAUGCAAGUCGGACGGGAUCCAUUGAUAGCUUGCUAUCCAUGGUGAGAGUGGCGCACGGGUGCGUAACGCGUGAGCAACCUGCCUCCAUCAGGGGGAUAGCCUCUCGAAAGAGAGAUUAACACCUCAUAAUAUCAACAGUUCGCAUGUUCAGUUGAUUAAUUCUUUAUAUAAUGGAGAUAGCCUCGCGUGACAUUCGCUCGUUGGUAGGGUAACGGCUUACCAAGGCGACGAUGUCUAGGGGCUCUGAGAGGAGAAUCCCCCACGCUGGUACUGCGUCACGGACCAGACUCCUACGGGAGGCAGCAGUAAGGAAUAUUGGGCAAUGGGCGGAAGCCUGACCCAGCCAUGCCGCGUGCAGGAUGACUGCCCUAUGGGUUGUAAACUGCUUUUGUCCAGGAAUAAACCUAAAUACGAGUAUUUAGCUGAAUGUAAUGGAAGAAUAAGGAUCGGCUAACUCCGUG